UCCUGCCUCUCCCUCCCAAAGUGCUGGGAUUACAGGCCAUGACCCCUGGCCUGACAUUUCUUUUAAAAAUUACGUAUUGCUUUAAGAUGUUUAAGCAUAUUAGCUUAGCAUUCUAUACUGUAUUUGUCCCACUUUUAAAAUUUUCCUUCUCAUCCCUUUUGCACGAUGCCUGCGGCAUGUUUUCUACAGCAUUAGCCCCCCUCAUAGAGCCAAAACAGCUACCAGUGUCCCCUGGGAGUCAGGGAUGGCCUGGGCUGGUUCAGGGGACUGUAACUGGAGCCCCGAGCUGGCUGUAUGAUUCUGCCCAGUCGCGCUCCCUGCCCGGGACCUCUGUUUUCUCCUUACGGUGGGGAGAGGUCUGAAUGAGGCCUCAGCUCACGCACUCCAUUAUCUUGAGGCUGCUCCCACCCCCAGGCCUAAGAGAGACAGAGGCCCUUUGAGCUGGGGCUGGCAGGCGAGGCUGGAGUCCCAGGGCUACCAAAGCGUUGCGGAGGGAAUGCUUUGAAGAGGCCCCGCCCUUCCUGGGGCUGCGGCUUAGCUCCGGCCUCCCUCACCCGGCAGGGAUUCCCGUUCUAGGGGACAUGUGGUUCGUGCCAGCCAGUUGAUGUGGGCGCUUUCUUCUGCCCCGACUCCCGGCUGUCCGCUUCCUCCCCAGACCCCUCCUGUGAGCUCUGGGAGCUACAGAAUAAGGACACUCCUUGGCUCCAAGCCAGCCCCGGCUUGCUCUGGAGCUUGGAUUUCCCCCUCCGACCCCAUCACCGCAAGGGUCUGUGCAUGGGAAUCUGCUCCCGAGGCUCCCUCAGGCGCCGCGCCGCCGGGGAUACGCCUUUCACCGCCCCAGCAAUUGGAGCGCUGAGUCGAAGUCCUGAUUCCACGAGAGGCGAGAGGCGGAUGAAGCCCCAACGCUGAAAUUCUUUCCUCUAGGUCUUUGGCAGCGGCUGGGGCCAAAGCCCGGGCAAGACCAGGGCCUUCGGCACCCGGACUCAGGCUCCGUCCUCUCUACCAGCGUGCGGCUACAAUGACAUGGCAGGCCACUGCCUUCAGAGAAGGUGACAGAGGGCCAUGUCUGAAACAUUCUCCCACAACCAGGAACCCUCAGCAGCCACUGAAGAGGAAAGGCAGUUAAAUGGAAAGACUUCUGAGCAAGUGGAAGAAAAGGCACCUGUGACCCUAGGGAGGGGCUCCGGCAGGAAGGGGCAGUGCCCUUGCUCUCUUCACCUAGUCUCCAGGUGGCUCCCCACUUGAAAUUUCGGAGGAUGGCAGAAACCAACCUGCAAGGAAAUGAAAGAGGGCAUGGCAACCUUAAGACCAGAGCAGCCCACGAUAUUUUUUAAUGAGGCCAAAAAUAGGAGACCUGCAAAAGACCCCUGAAAAUAAUGCCUGGAAGUUGCGAAACAUCAAACUGACACUGCACAAAAGAGGGCCAGCUGAGCAGGAGAAAAGCUUGAGAAGCGUCCAGAACAAUGUAGGUGGAGAGGCUAAGAAGAAAGAGGAGCCCACAUGGAAUGAAUAACCAUGGUUGGGACGGAGGAAGGUUCACCAGAACUGGGAGGACUGAGAUUGGACAUUGAGAUAAAUUAAAGAGUGUUCUUUAAAACUGUCAA